GUUUUAUGCCACUUCUUUUUCUGUCUCAUUUUGUCCACCACACUGUUAACGUUGUGCGUGAAGGCACAAAGGCUUGCAUCCCAGGUCUGGUAGAUGAGCACAGAUGUCAUCGAUUUGUUGUUGAGAGCGUCUUCCACGUGCUCCACCCGCAGUCGAAGCGUGACCCCCGCCCGGGCCACGGCGCAACGCCCGUCCCCAAACCGGGGCGCCCCCGCGGCGAAGCGAGACGCAGAGCCGGCACGCCCGCAGCGGGGCCCCGGGUCGUCGCUCCACUCCACGCCCCAAGAGAGACACCGGCGCCGGGGAAGCACCCCCAGGGGGUACGGAACCGCACGGCACGACAUCAGCUGACAACUAUUGGGGACGCCUCCCAGGAACGAGUGGAAGACGGGGACUGCUCCAACUGUCCUAGCACUGGCUGACUGAGGUGCGUCCGUGUGUCCUGCCACCCAAACCGCCAAAGUGUAUGAUCACCAAUUAGACGACUCAUAAUAGGAGCCUUUUGACUCUUAUAUAUGGUGGGACUCAAGGU